rnacentral:rRNA from 1 species
AACGCUGGCGGCGUGCUUUAUACAUGCAAGUCGAACGAGGACCGGGUGCUUGCACCUGGAGCCGAGUGGCGAACGGGUGAGUAACACGUGACCAAUCUGCCCUUGGGAGAGGGACAACCUGGGGAAACCCGGGCUAAUACCGCAUGAUGUGCAGCCAUCGCAUGGUGGCGGCACCAAAGGGGGGCCUCUACUUGUAAGCUCUCGCCCAUGGAGGAGGUCGCGGCGUAUCAGCUUGUUGGUGGGGUAACGGCUCACCAAGGCGACGACGCGUAGCGGGUCUGAGAGGACGAUCCGUCACAUUGGGACUGAGAUACGGCCCAGACUCCUACGGGAGGCAGCAGUAGGGAAUAUUGCGCAAUGGUCGAAAGACUGACGCAGCGACGCCGCGUGCGGGAGGAAGCCUUUCGGGGUGUAAACCACUGUCAGAUGGGAAGAAACACGCACUUCCAAACAGGACGUGCGCAUGACGGUACCAUCAGAGGAAGCGCCGGCUAACUCCGUGCCAGCAGCCGCGGUAAG